rnacentral:rRNA from 1 species
UACAGAGGGUGCGAGCGUUAAUCGGAAUUACUGGGCGUAAAGCGUGCGUAGACGGUCAUGUAAGUCGGAUGUGAAAGCCCCGGGCUCAACCUGGGAAUUGCAUUCGAGACUGCAAGGCUUGGGUGCGGAAGAGGGAAGCGGAAUUUCCGGUGUAGCGGUGAAAUGCGUAGAUAUCGUCAAGAACACCUAUAGCGAAGGCAGCUUACUGGGCUGUAACUGACGCUGAGGCACGAAAGUGUGGGGAUCAAACAGG